GACGAACGCUGGCGGCGUGCCUAAUACAUGCAAGUUGAGCGCUGAAGGUUGGUACUUGUACCAACUGGAUGAGCAGCGAACGGGUGAGUAACGCGUGGGGAAUCUGCCUUUGAGCGGGGGACAACAUUUGGAAACGAAUGCUAAUACCGCAUAAAAACUUUAAACACAAGUUUUAAGUUUGAAAGAUGCAAUUGCAUCACUCAAAGAUGAUCCCGCGUUGUAUUAGCUAGUUGGUGAGGUAAAGGCUCACCAAGGCGAUGAUACAUAGCCGACCUGAGAGGGUGGUCGGCCACAUUGGGACUGGGACACGGCCCAAACUCCUACGGGAGGCAGCAGUAGGGAAUCUUCGGCAAUGGACGAAAGUCUGACCGAGCAACGCCGCGUGAGUGAAGAAGGUUUUCGGAUCGUAAAACUCUGUUGGUAGGGAAGAACGUUGGUGAGAGUGGAAAGCUCAUCAAGUGACGGUAACUACCCAGAAAGGGACGGCUAACUACGUG
rnacentral:rRNA from 1 species